UAAAAAAAAAAAACAAAAAAAAUUCCAUCGCAUCCCCUCAUUUGCUUUCUCCUAAUCAGUAAUUAAGCAGCCAGAGGAAAAGCUUACCUCCUCUUCUAUCUGCUUCUGCGUCUCUAAUUCUCUCUCUCUAGAUUCGUGUUUAUCCAGACAAUUCAGUGGCAAUAAACCAGUAAUUUACCUCUCUAGUCUCUACCUUCCCUAUAUAUGCCCCUCUCCCUACUCACUUCUCUCAUUUAUCUUUCUUGUUCCUUCCCGUCUGCCUACUGAUCCAUUAUACUCACUUGGAUUCUAUUACGAGUGGAUUUUGUCGUAGUUUUGCUUUUCUGGGUUCUCUCUGUUUCAAGUUUCUUUAGGUAACCAUGAAUGCUUUAGCAGCUACAAACCGCAAUUUUCGCCACGCAGCACGAAUUCUUGGGUUAGACUCUAAAGUUGAAAAGAGUCUCUUGAUCCCAUUUAGAGAGAUCAAGGUGGAAUGCACAAUUCCCAAGGACGAUGGUACUCUGGUGUCGUACGUUGGAUUCAGGGUGCAACAUGAUAAUGCUCGUGGUCCUAUGAAGGGAGGAAUCAGAUACCAUCCUGAGGUUGACCCUGAUGAAGUAAAUGCGCUGGCUCAACUAAUGACCUGGAAGACUGCUGUAGCAGACAUACCAUAUGGUGGGGCAAAAGGAGGGAUUGGAUGCACCCCAAGGGAGUUAAGUUUGAGUGAGUUAGAACGACUCACCCGUGUCUUCACUCAGAAGAUCCAUGAUCUCAUCGGCAUUCAUACAGAUGUUCCAGCACCUGAUAUGGGCACUAAUUCACAGACCAUGGCAUGGAUAUUGGAUGAAUACUCAAAAUUUCAUGGUCACUCUCCAGCUGUUGUAACAGGGAAGCCCAUAGAUCUUGGUGGAUCACUGGGUAGAGAGGCUGCAACUGGCCGUGGAGUUGUUUAUGCUGCUGAAGCUUUGCUUGCUGAAUAUGGGAAAUCCAUUGGGGGUUUGACAUUUGCUGUUCAGGGUUUUGGGAACGUUGGGUCCUGGGCAGCAAGGCUCAUAAAUGAGAGAGGUGGAAAGGUUAUAGCAGUGAGUGACAUCACUGGUGCGGUCAAGAACCCAAAAGGGCUAGACAUACCGGAAUUACUUAGGCAUAAAGAAGCUACUGGCAGUUUGAGAAAUUUCCAUGGUGGAGACUCUAUGGAUCCCAGUGAAUUGUUGCUACAUGAAUGUGAUGUCCUCAUCCCAUGUGCUUUAGGUGGAGUUCUGAACAGGGAAAAUGCUGCUGAUGUGAAGGCCAAGUUCAUUGUAGAGGCAGCAAACCAUCCAACUGAUCCUGAGGCAGAUGAGAUUCUAUCUAAGAAAGGAGUCAUAAUACUUCCUGACAUAUAUGCCAACGCUGGAGGUGUGACUGUCAGCUAUUUUGAGUGGGUUCAGAAUAUUCAAGGAUUCAUGUGGGAAGAAGAACAGGUGAACAAUGAGCUUCGAAGGUACAUGACUCGUGCCUUUCAUAACAUCAAGAACAUGUGCAAGACUCAUGAUUGCAAUCUUCGGAUGGGUGCCUUUACCCUGGGGGUAAACCGAGUUGCACGUGCUACUCUGUUAAGGGGAUGGGAAGCAUAAAUCGAUUUUGUUUUAGGCUCCAAAUUCCUCCUUUGUUUACCUUUUCAUCCUCGAAUGUAUCCCUGCCUACAGCUGAAGGAGCCAACUUCAAAGCUGUUGAUCCCUUCAGCUAUUUUUCUUUUCCCCUUUUAGAAUCCCAACUUUUUAUUUUUGUUUUUUUAAAAUGAUAUUCCUAUCAACAAUGUCUAGAAAAUUAAUUCCUGCUGUUAGAUUUUGAUGUUGAAAUGGAUAUUUUCUGUUACGAUUCACAUUGACAAGCCAUUUGAAAUAAACUGAAACAUUUUGAUAGUUU
rnacentral:misc_RNA from 1 species